GACGAACGCUGGCGGCGUGCUUAACACAUGCAAGUCGAGCGGUAAGGGCCCUUUCGGGGGUGCACGAGCGGCGAACGGGUGAGUAACACGUGGGUGACCUGCCUCUAGCUCUGGGGUAAGCCUGGGAAGCUGGGUCUAAUACCGGAUAUGACCUCGCGGUGCAUGUUGCGGGUGGAAAGCCUUGUGCGGCUAGGGAUGGGCCCGCGG
rnacentral:rRNA from 1 species